UUCCUUCCGGUCGAUGAGGAAGAUGUACCUCAUCAAUCGGAAGGGGUUCCUUCCGGUCGAUGAGGUACAUGUACCUCGUUGACCGGAAGGAA
rnacentral:miRNA from 1 species